UUCCCAGCAAGCCAUGAAGGAAAUGCUUGCGACAAUACUCAGAAACCAAAAACAAAUCAUUCAAAGUCAGAAGCAUUCUCAAAACUCUAUGGAGGCAGUUCUGACAAAAAUAUCUAAAGUGAAAGUCAAACCUGUGAAUGUUUCUCCAGUGAUAAAGCAUUUAGUACAUAGGCCAUACAAUCAUUACACCACAGAGGAUGAAGACCCCUGGAAAACAACUGAAGAUUGCCAUGAAAACUUAUUGGUGUUCUGUGAAAAGAAGAAGCAAUGAAUUGAACAUCUGGUACAGACGUCAGCUUGAGGCGAGGAGAAGAACGUCAAAAAGAGAUAAACUACAACAUCGUCUUUGCAUCCUCACGACAGCAGAUACCAUACCAGAUGGUCAUCUAUUAAACACUUUUUACAACAUUGCCAAUUGAAAUUACAGUGAGCUCCGAAGAGUCUGGGGAGGAGGAUGACCCAUUCAGUGCCAAUGAGAAGAUCAAAGUAAAAGUAGUUAGGCCCAGGCGAUGGGAAUCAGCAAAAAUUAAAGAGGUGAAAAAAUGCCUUGACCUGCAAUACAGGUCAAAAAACAGAUGCAGGCAAAUGCCCAGAACAAUGGAGUCAUUCUCAAUUAGAGAUAAUCCUGAA